UACGUAGGGGGCAAGCGUUGUCCGGAUUCAUUGGGCGUAAAGGGUGCGUAGGCGGUGGGGCAAGUCAGGUGUGAAAUCCCGGAGCUCAACUCCGGAACUGCACUUGAUACUGCCUUGCUAGAGUACUGGAGAGGAGACUGGAAUUUACGGUGUAGCAGUGAAAUGCGUAGAGAUCGUAAGGAAGACCAGUGGCGAAGGCGAGUCUCUGGACAGUUACUGACGCUGAGGCACGAAGGCCAGGGGAGCAAACGGG
rnacentral:rRNA from 1 species